UCUCCAGAGGGGCAAUCCUUACCUAGUCCUCAUUUAGGAGCCGCAGAGGAAACGGGAGAGAUUCGCAUGGUAUGUGAUUAGUGUCUCUGAAUAAUCAGGGCUUGGAACACUCUGAUUGCUCCCUAUCUGAU
rnacentral:snoRNA from 1 species